rnacentral:lncRNA from 1 species
CCCCCCCCCCCCCGUCCCCCCGUCCCACCUACACACACAUAUGCACAGUUCAGGGAAGGUGGACCACCAGUAUCUUGCUGUGACUUUUUUGAACCUUGUAGCUGUAAGCAUUUCCACUGUGACAAAGAGAAGAGGCCCAUUGACCAUUAGAGACCAGGGUGGACUUCCUUUAAAAUCCAAAACAGAGAAACAAAUAUGUAAACCAUCAGAGAGGCAACUAUAGAGCACAAAUAUUGUCAAGCAAUGGGGAAGACCACAUUGAGAACCGUAAUUGUCUGUGUAUCCACAGUGUAUAGUGCUUUAGGUUGUGUAGUGACAGGCCCAGACCAGAAGAAGGUUCCUGUGGGCUCUAAUGUUCGACUGUCCUGCGACCUCACUCAGUGUUUGAAAAGUCUGGGACAUCACCAAAUCAGUGCGGAGUGGGAGUUCAUUGACAAGGACUCAAUGGAUAAAGCCCGGCACUGUCUCAUAUACCACUACCAUAACCAAACUGUCACCGUUGAACCCAGAGUGUCUCUGGUUGGGAACAUCUCUGAAGGUGACUUCUCGAUCCUGCUGGUGUCGGUGACAGUCCAACGUAGUGGCACCUACCUGUGUCGCCUGCGUUCUCCACAUGGCUAUUCAGACAUUCAUGAGAGUCACACACAGGUCACAGUGGUGGAGAGAUCAGGGCAGCACAGGAGUUUCCCAGGAGAUCUCCAUAAACCUGGUGUAAACCAUCCGGAUUGGCUGUUGCCUCUCUGCUGCGUGCUUUUUUCACUCUUCCUGGUGGGCGGAGUCACAGUGGGAAUAUGCGUGUGUCGGAGGAGGUCACCGCGGCAACAAAAUGACAAGUGUCACAUCCAGGUGAACGUAACACGCGGAGAAGACACACGGGAAGCCAAUGGAAACAAGGACACAAACUGCUAUGUCACGCUCCAGAGGCUCAGGGCCCCGCCCCCUCCCACACCCUCUAGAGGAGAGGGCAUCUACGUUACCAUGCACGGCACUCCCGCUGGGCCUUCAGGUGUCCAUUCCAAGCCCCAGACUCACCCCAGCAGAAAGACUCUCCCAGAGGAGUGGCGGCAACAGGAAAUACCCACAAAGCCCCAACACUGCCCUUGA